CACUGAGAUUGAUAACAACGAAGCUCCGGAUGACCAAGCCUGCGCAUCAGCUGUGGAUAGUACCAAUUUAAAGGACGAUGGAGGCGCAAAAGACAACAUCAAAUCAUGAACAACAUAUAGAGAUCUCUUGAGGAGCGCAAACAAACAACAUCACAAGUCAAUUUACAGAAGAAUAAGCGACCAGGUUUGCUUUGCAACGGUUGUA
rnacentral:sRNA from 1 species